CCCGGUGGUCAUUGCGGAGGGGUUCCACCCGUUCCCAUCCCGAACACGGUAGUUAAGCCCUCCAGCGCCGAUGGUACUGCUACGGUGGGAGAGUAGGUCACUGCCGGGA
rnacentral:rRNA from 6 species